UACGAAGGGGGCUAGCGUUGUUCGGAUUUACUGGGCGUAAAGCGCACGUAGGCGGAUCGUUAAGUCGGGGGUGAAAUCCUGGAGCUCAACUCCAGAACUGCCUUCGAUACUGGCGAUCUUGAGUCCGGAAGAGGUGAGUGGAACUCCUAGUGUAGAGGUGGAAUUCGUAGAUAUUAGGAAGAACACCAGUGGCGAAGGCAGCCCCCUGGGUUAACACUGACGCUCAUGCACGAAAGCGUGGGGAGCAAACAGG
rnacentral:rRNA from 1 species